AGUGAACGCUGGCGGUAGGCCUAACACAUGCAAGUCGAACGGCAGCACAGUAAGAGCUUGCUCUUACGGGUGGCGAGUGGCGGACGGGUGAGGAAUACAUCGGAAUCUACUUUUUCGUGGGGGAUAACGUAGGGAAACUUACGCUAAUACCGCAUACGACCUACGGGUGAAAGCAGGGGAUCUUCGGACCUUGCGCGAUUGAAUGAGCCGAUGUCGGAUUAGCUAGUUGGCGGGGUAAAGGCCCACCAAGGCGACGAUCCGUAGCUGGUCUGAGAGGAUGAUCAGGCACACUGGAACUGAGACACGGUCCAGACUCCUACGGGAGGCAGCAGUGGGGAAUAUUGGACAAUGGGCGGAAGCCUGAUCCAGCCAUACCGCGUGGGUGAAGAAGGCCUUCGGGUUGUAAAGCCCUUUUGUUGGGAAAGAAAAGCAGCAGGUUAAUACCCCGCUGUUCUGACGGUACCCAAAGAAUAAGCACCGGCUAACUUCGUG
rnacentral:rRNA from 1 species